UGGGGAAUAUUGGACAAUGGGGGAAACCCUGAUCCAGCAAUGCCGCGUGUGUGAAGAAGGCCUGCGGGUUGUAAAGCACUUUCAGAAGAGAAGAAAAGCGCAGCGAUAAUACCGUUGUGUCCUGACGUAACCUUCAGAAGAAGCACCGGCUAACUCCGUGCCAGCAGCCGCGGUAAUACGGGGGGGGUAAGCGUUGUUCGGAAUUACUGGGCGUAAAGGGCUCGUAGGCGGCCAACUAAGUCAGACGUGAAAUCCCUCAGCUUAACUGGGGAACUGCGUCUGAUACUGGAUGGCUUGGAUCCGGGAGAGGGAUGCGGAAUUCCAGGUGUAGCGGUGAAAUGCGUAGAUAUCUGGAGGAACACCGGUGGCGAAGGCGGCAUCCUGGACCGGUAUUGACGCUGAGGAGCGAAAGCCAGGGGAGCAAA
rnacentral:rRNA from 1 species